CAGUCGCCGCGGUAAUACGUAGGUGGCAAGCGUUGUCCGGAAUUAUUGGGCGUAAAGGGCUCGCAGGCGGUUUCUUAAGUCUGAUGUGAAAGCCCCCGGCUCAACCGGGGAGGGUCAUUGGAAACUGGGAAACUUGAGUGCAGAAGAGGAGAGUGGAAUUCCACGUGUAGCGGUGAAAUGCGUAGAGAUGUGGAGGAACACCAGUGGCGAAGGCGACUCUCUGGUCUGUAACUGACGCUGAGGAGCGAAAGCGUGGGGAGCGAACAGGAUUAGAUACCGAGUAGUCCCUGUCUCUUAUACA
rnacentral:rRNA from 1 species